CAUCACCCCUAAUGACAAAACCAAUUAAUUACGGAGUACUCUAGUUUAGCCUCUGUUUGAAUUGCUGAAAAUUGACUAACAAAACGUUUGCCCUUUUAGCACCACCGUCAUCUUGAUCCGCAACCCUUCACAUUGGUUGGAUCGUACCCCAAUGCGCCUUUGCUGACGUUGUUAGACCCAGAAAUCAAUAAACCCCAAAAAGUUCUUCAAUAAAUUUCAAUUUUUUUCUAUCAAAGCCAGAAAGAAUAGAGAAAAAUCAAGGCUAAAUGGUCAAUAGGGUUUGCAGAUUUGAUAAGUUCGGUUGAGUAAUGGUACGCUUAGACCUCCAUUGAUGUUUCAACUCAUCGUUCUCCAGGGUGUUUAAUGUGAAAUGAUGGAGAAUUCUCAAGAUCAAAGUAAUAGUGAGCUAGAUGGAGAACAAAGGAGGGAUGUGGGUAGUAGUACUUCAACGUCUUGUAGCUCAGUUUACCGUUUGUUUGGGCGACAGAAGCCGAUUUAUCAGAUAAUGGGAGGUGGCCAAGCUGCUGAUGUGAUCUUGUGGAAGAAAUGGCACUUGUCAUGUGGGGUCAUUGUUGUCGCUACUGCUGCAUGGCUACUGUUUGAGCAGUCUGGAUUACCAUUCCUAUCAGCAAGCUCAGAUGUUCUGCUCGUCUUGAUAGUUAUGCUGUUCCUUCGCGCCAAUUUUGCUGCUCUGACUAAAAGGCACUUGGAAGAAUUGCCUGAACUAGAGUUGUCAGAAGAUUUGGUUACCUCUACGGCUGCAUCUUUUCGUGUGAAAGUUAAUUACUUUCUGUUGAUGGCACAUGAUAUCACCCUUGGCAAGGACUUCAGACUGUUCUUUAAGGUGGUGGCAGCCUUGUGGCUCUUUUCUAUUGUUGGUAGCUUAUUUUCUUUCAUUACGCUUGCUUAUGUAGUGGAAGUUAUAUCAAGGAAAACAAAGUUGGGAUCCAGCUGCUGGUGGGAUUUGGCAAGGCCAUGAUAUGUGCAGGCUUACCAAAUAAUUGGGGUGAAGAACUUGAAACUAUCGAAGUUAAUAAGACCUUUCUCUUCAACCAGAUCAUAAUUUCCCAACUAACCUCUGGAGGAAACGAAGAUGAUUUCUUGUUUUAUUGAUGAUGGGGAUGGAGGGAAAUUAGGCAUCAUCAUAGACCUCAUUCAUCAACAGCAAUGUGCUAUAAUUUUUGUUACAGUUCCAGCUCUGUAUAGCAGAUAUGAAGAACAUAUUGACAAAUUUGCUGGUUUUGUACACCAGAGAUUCUCCAGGCAAUACAAAGUUGUUGAUGAGGAUAUUGUUAGAAGACUCUCCACAA